rnacentral:rRNA from 1 species
UAGUGAGUUUGAUCCUGGCUCAGAACGAACGUUAGCGGUGUGAUUUAGGCAUGCAAGUCGCGCGUGAAAGCAGCAAUGCAAGUAAAGCGGCGAAAGGGUGAGUAACACGUAAUCAACCUAUCCCCAAGAUCGGAAUAACCACUGGAAACGGUGGCUAAUGCUGGAUGUUCCCGGCGGAUGGCAUCAUCUACCCGGAAAACGGUGGCGUAAGCUGCUGCUUAGGGAGGGGGUUGCGGGCUAUCAGCUAGUUGGUGGGGUAAUGGCCUACCAAGGCGAUGACGGCUACCAGGUCUGAGGGGACGGACUGGCACACUGGGGACUGAGACACGGCCCAGACUCCUACGGGAGCAGCAGUAGGAAUCUUCCACAAUGGACGAAAGUCUGAUGGAGCAACG